UUUGCACCCCCCUCCCCACACACCUACCUAUGACAUCACUCCUCAUGAAUAUUUAUAGAAUCUAUUUAUUAUCCAAGCUUCCUGAAGUUUUAAUAAAGUGGAAAAUAACAUCUGCAGAGUCAGUGUCUCCCCCAGGAAUUUCCUGAGGGAAAGGGAUAUUCGAAGUUGCAUCAGUCAAAAUGUAACCUACCUUCCUGGCAAGAGUUUAUUUGCAAGAUUCAGAAGUGCCUGUGAUUUGCACUCUCUGGGAGCGAGGGAAUGGAUUGUGCUGCUGACACAAGCACAACUAGGCAGUUCAGACCCAAGCCCAGAAGAUCUCCCAAACACUGAAGAGGCCUGGUCAUCCACACUGUGCACUUGUGCUUCUGCACUGCUUUUGGGACCUGCAUCUCCUCAUAGCAAAGCCCUCAACCCUCCCCUCUAGAAGUGCCUGCAGCAGUGAGGCACUGAAGGAAUCCCUAAGGUGUUGGAACAAUGCCAAGAAGGGUGCAUGACUGGAAUGAAAAUGUGUUUUCUCUCCCUCCUCUGUUUCUACAAUCUGAAAUGAAAAGGCAAGGAGGAGACACUGACAAAUCAGGUCUAAUUACCAGUGUCCCUAAAAAUGAGCCUACAGGAGCAGCUUUUUCUGCAAACGUGAGUAUGUGAUAUGAACUUUUUGUUAAGGGCCAUAGGCUUGACUCUCAGUUGGAAUAACUCGGCAUAGCUCUAUUGAAUUCAACAGAACUACUCUGACUUACACCAGCUGAGGAUCUGGCCUCAUAUCGUCUCAGAAGUCGGUUAUAUCCGCAAUGAUAAGGAGGAAGAACUGUGUGAAAAUUGGACUGAAAUCCUGGAUUCUUUGCCAGUUGGACUGCAAACUGCUGUGGGAAAACUUAUGGGGAAGUGCUAUAUUACCAUGAAGAAAUCAAAAAGAACUUGUGACUUUUGAAUGCUUUUAAGAUUCAAAGGAUCAUGAACAAAUGUUUCUUGCUUUUCAGUUUCAAUGAUUUUGGGUACUGGUGCCCUUGUAGUAUUGGCCCUAGACUACCAAUGACAAUGUUCAUUACACAUCCAUUUAUAAAGCACACACCACAAUGACUCAUAAUUAAUCUAUCUCCUUCCUUCCUGUAUUUUGAUAUUGCGGUGUUAUGUUUCACCUGACCCAUUGGAUGCUUUAUCUGCAUUUUGGCAAAGGCAGAAAGAGCUCAGCCCUACAAAGGGUCACGUGCCAACAGAGCAUGUUGAAAUUCAAAAUUUUGGUGAAAUAUUUAGUGAUGAAAUUUUCAUUAUUUCCCCCCCCCCCCUUUUUUUGAGCAACUGUAGAGCUGGUCAAAGUGUUGACAAAUUUCUAAAGGCAAGGGGAAAAUUUUUCUUUUAAAUAUUGGCCAGAUUUUUUUGCUCUGUUUUUCAACCAGCUCUAAUUAUGAGGGUUGCUGAAAAAUGAGCCCACAAAAGAAGAACUGGCCAUCAAAAGAGAAAGCAGCUUUGUCUUCCAGGGCUGCCCAGAGGAUUCAGGGGGCCUGGGGCAAAGCAAUUUCGGGGGCCCCUUCCAUAAAAAAAAAAGUUGCAACACUAUAAAAU